AUUGAACGCUGGCGGCAUGCCUUACACAUGCAAGUCGAACGGCAGCGGACCUUCGGGUGCCGGCGAGUGGCUAACGGGUGAGUAAUAUAUCGGAACGUACCUUUCAGUGGGGGAUAACGUAGCGAAAGUUACGCUAAUACCGCAUAUUCUGUGAGCAGGAAAGCAGGGGAUCGCAAGACCUUGCGCUGGAUUGAGCGGCCGAUAUCAGAUUAGCUAGUUGGUGAGGUAAAGGCUCACCAAGGCGACGAUCUGUAGCGGGUCUGAGAGGAUGAUCCGCCACACUGGAACUGAGACACGGUCCAGACUCCUACGGGAGGCAGCAGUGGGGAAUUUUGGACAAUGGGCGCAAGCCUGAUCCAGCCAUGCCGCGUGAGUGAAGAAGG
rnacentral:rRNA from 1 species